GGGGAUGUAGCUCAGGGGUAGAGCGCUCGCUUCGCAUGCGAGAUGUCCUGGGUUCAAUUCCCAGCAUCUCCA
rfam:Oikopleura dioica, whole genome shotgun assembly, reference scaffold set, scaffold scaffold_126